rfam:Schistosoma mattheei strain Denwood, Zambia genome assembly, scaffold: SMTD_scaffold0007371
AUUCAGCUGAUGAGUUCAAAAUAGGAUGAAGCGCAAUUCCUGGAU